rnacentral:tRNA from 1 species
GGAGAUUUAGCUUAGUGGCAUAAGAAUCUGAUUGGAAAAUACAAGGUUGUGAGUUUGAUUCCCAUUAUCCCCC